rnacentral:sRNA from 1 species
GCCGGGCAUAGUGGUGCACGCCUGUAAUCCCAGCAGCUCAGGAGGCUGUGAGGCAGGAGGAUUGCAAGUUUGAGAGCAGCUUCAGCAACGUAGCAAGACCCUGUCUCAA